CUGAGUUUGAUCCUGGCUCAGGACGAACGCUGGCGGCGUGCUUAACACAUGCAAGUCGAACGAUGAUCCGGUGCUUGCACCGGGGAUUAGUGGCGAACGGGUGAGUAACACGUGAGUAACCUGCCCUUGACUCUGGGAUAAGCCUGGGAAACCGGGUCUAAUACCGGAUACGACCUGUCACCGCAUGGUGGUGGGUGGAAAGAUUUUUUGGUUUUGGAUGGACUCGCGGCCUAUCAGCUUGUUGGUGAGGUAAUGGCUCACCAAGGCGACGACGGGUAGCCGGCCUGAGAGGGUGACCGGCCACACUGGGACUGAGACACGGCCCAGACUCCUACGGGAGGCAGCAGUGGGGAAUAUUGCACAAUGGGCGAAAGCCUGAUGCAGCGACGCCGCGUGAGGGAUGACGGCCUUCGGGUUGUAAACCUCUUUCAGCAGGGAAGAAUGCGAAAG
rnacentral:rRNA from 1 species